CUCGGCGCUCGCUGCCCGGCCUGCCGGUUGCUAGGAGGCGGGACGCCGGCCGGGCCCAGCGUGCGGGCGGGCGUCUCCUCCCGGCCUGGCCCCAGACGGCUGCGCGGCCCCGGGCCUGCGCGCGGCGAUGGAGCCCGGGAAGAGAAGAACCAAAGACGAUACUUGGAAAGCAGAUGACCUCAGAAAAUACCUUUGGGCGGCACAGUCAGCUGGUCCUAAGGAGGAUAAGAAACACAGAGAGAAGCAGCCACAGAAGGAUCUGGAAACUGACCUCCCUGAAUGCCGGGAGCACAGACGCAGGGACCCAGAGCGGGAAGCCAGGUGCAGAGACAGGGUGGCCGAGAGGGAGAAGCCACACAGGCUUCAGGACCAGGACCAGGACCGGCAUCGGAACAGGAGGAAGGACACCAGGAGCCGGGACAGAGAGAAGCCCAAGGAGGGACACCGAGAGCAGGCCGCUGCUGAGAAGGCCCCCAGCCGGGGGAAGGAGCGCGAGAAGGGGGACCACAGGGCAUGGCGGGACGGGCUGAGGCAGGCGGCUGGCUGCCACAACCUGCUGGGCCAGGACACGCAGGGGCGGCCACCUGACAGGCCAGAGCGCAGGACGCAGGCAGUAAGUAAAGCAAGGCCUGAGGAGAGGGAGCCAAAGGGUGAGGAGCCUGAAGGAGACGACGAGGAGAGAGAGAGACGGUACCGGGAGAGGAAGUUGCGGUACGGCGACAGCAGGGACAACCCUCUCAAGUACUGGCUGUACCAAGAGGAGGGCGAGAGACCGCACAGGUGGCAGGAGGAGAGGAAGCGCCGAGAAAAGAGCCAUGCCAGGGAGAGGAGAGACAAGAGCGCAAAAGACAGCAGCCGCUUGCUGUCUGACAGGGGCGGGGAGGAGCGGCGGAGAGACCGGCGGCUUACGGAGGGCUUUCCUUCCGAGGACGAGCGGCCCCGGGGCCACGCGGACAGAAAGGACAGGCCAUGGAGGGAGGAGCAGUGGAGGAGGGCGGCCAAGAAUGGUGAGCACAGAAGUCGAGGUGCAGAUUCCAAGAAGGACGAGACCGGCAGCCAGCAUGCAGAGAAUUUAGGGAGGAAUAAUGAAAGAGAUAAAGACUCAAGAAGGAAGCAUGGCCGUGAGGAGGGCGCGUUGGAGUGGAAGCUGGCCCGGAGGCGAGGCAGUGAGGAGGCAGUGGAGAUUGGAAAGGAAGAUGCUGACUCAGAAAACGCAGGAGCUGGUGAACAUACAGUUGGUUUUGAAGGUGAUUUUGAAGACUAUGAGGACGACUUUGAGGUCUGUGACGGGGAUGAGGACAGCGGGCUGGAUGCACUUGAAUCAGCAGAGAUGGCAGAAGAGCUUCCCCCGGCCAGAAGGAGGGAGAUUGAAGAAAUUCGGAAAGCCAUCCAUGCGGAGAACGAACGGGUGGGCGAGCUGUCUCCGAAGCUGUUGGAGAGCCCGGGCCGGGUGGAGCGUGGAAGGGGCGCAGGGCCAGGUGCAAACAAUUCCCCUUCCCAAACCCCUGUUUGUGGAAUUCUCGUGGAUUUUGCAACAGCCUCACACCGUCAGAAGAGCCGGACUCAGGCACUUAAGCAAAAGACGCGCAGCACAAAGCUGCUCCGGCUCAUCGACCUGGACUUCUCGUUCACCUUCUCCCUCCUGGAUCUGCCACCGGUGAACGAGUAUGACAUGUACAUCAGGAGCUUUGGGAAGAAGAACACCAAGCAGGCAUAUGUUCAGUGUAACGAAGACCAUGUGGAGAGGGAUGUGCAGACCGAAGAGGUGGAGACCCGGGAAGUGUGGACCCAGCACCCGGGAGAGGGUGCGGCUGUGUCUGGGGGGAGUGACAGGGGCGGCCCCGGUGGCGCUGCCGUGGUCCCGAAGGUUGACACACCCCGGCUGUGCAGCUUCCUCCGGGCAGCCUGCCAGGUGAUUGCGGUUUUGCUGGAAGAGGACCGUGUGGCCGCGGAGCCGAGCUGGCCCCCCCGGGCACAGGACUGCACCCUGCCUCUCAGCGACGGCUCCGUCCCCUUCAACACCGGCCUGCUGUUCCUCCAGAACCGAAGGGUGACCUGCGUGCAUGCAUCUCAGGCCCAGAGGCGGACAGUGGUGUCCGUCCACGGUCUGCCUGGCAAGGCCGCGGCGCCCCUGCUAGACAGCAGGCACCUGCUCUGCGUGUGGGACAUCUGGCAGCCGUCAGGGCCUCAGAAGGUCCUGCUGUGCGAGUCGGAGGUCACGUGCUGCUGCUUCAGCCCCUGUAAAGCCUUUUUGCUGUUUGCUGGGACCGCGCAUGGCUCGGUGCUCGUGUGGGACCUGAGAGAGGACGCCCGGAUCCAUUGCUCCCUGAAGCUGAGUGGGUGCUCCUGGACGUUCAGGACCUCAACGUUUUCUACUGAUGGCGUCCUGACGUCGGUGAACCACCGCAGUCCCCUCCGAGCGAUAGAACCGGUCUCAGCGUCUGUCUGCAAAAGACAGAGCUGUGUGCUCUCACCUUUCUCUGCUCCGGAAGAGACGUCGGGUCUGUCGUUCCACAUCGCGUCCUUGGACGAGAGCGGGGUUCUCAACGUGUGGGUGGUGGUUGAAUUACCAAGGGCAGAUCUCGCUGGUUCAAUAAGUGACUUGGGGCUGAUACCUGGAGGGAGGAUCAAACUGCUGCACAGCACGGCCGUUCACCUGGGUGGCAGCCUUUUCCAUAAAGGUGAUGAAUUUUGGGUGUCCACACAAACACUGAACGUUAAAUUUCUGCCUUCAGACCCUGAUCGCUUUGUCGUGGGCACGGACAUGGGCCUCGUCUGCCACGGCACCAGACAGGAGCGGAGGGUGUUUCCCAGGCUGUUCAGACCCCAGCAACAGGGCGUGAGACCCGUAAGGGUGAACGUGGUUGACUUUUCACCUUUCGGGGAACCAGUUUUCCUGGCCGGCUGCUCUGACGGGAGCCUCAGGCUGCACCAGCUGACGGCCGAGCUCCCACGCCUGCAGUGGGACCACAGCACGGGCGGCCACGCCAUAAACGGCCUGCACUGGUCCUUGACGAGACCUGCCAUGUUUCUGGUCUGGGACGAUGCGUCCUGCAUUUACGUCUGGGACCUCCUGGAGAGCGACCUGGGUCCCGUGGCCAAACAGUCCGUCUCCCCAGACAGGUGCCAAACUCCUUUUACAAGGCCAGCAUUACCCUCACACCAAAGCCAGAGACCCCACAAGAAAACUGCAGUCUAGGUGCCUCUGUGCCUGGAACAAGGGAUUCCAGGGGCCAACGUGGACAGAGAGAGGGAGGAGGACAUGUGGACUAGUAGCAGCGCCCACUGCUUCUGUGCCACACAGUGAGUGAGGACAGACGCGUGGUGGCCCCUGAGUCCGUCUGCCACUUGGCCUCCACACCCCGGGACCAAGGUGAGGCACCGUGUGGGAGGGGGCUCGGGAAGGAGCGGGGUGCGGGGAUGUGCGUUCUGACCCAGCCUCGGCCUCCAGGCUGGAAGCUGCAGUGGUAGGUGGAGGGUGUGGCUGCGGGGAGGGACUCGGGAGGUCUGGGCAUCCCCAGCCCCCGGAGCACGGCUGACCGGGGAGGAGGCCUCCUUAGCUGAUGGACACUCCGCUGUUGAGUGGACGCUCAAGCUUCCCGACUCCGUGGAGCUCUACCAAGCUGCUGCAUCCAGAGUGGGAGGCUUCCCCACAGAAUCCUUGGUAUGCCCAGCAGUUUCUCGUGGGGGGACCGAUGAGCCUGGAAUCGUGUGGGGUGGGGCAAACACUGAACAAACUGGCUUAAGUCCUGGAGGUGAAGUGACCUGUCCAGAGCCGAACAGAGGGUCAUGGCACCCAGGCCUCCAGUUUCCACCUUGGCCUCCUUGCCGGCAGAGAGUCAGGCCACCCUGAGAUGGCUUCCCAGAGGCCAGCCUGGGCUUUUAGCAGCCCCUCGCCAGGUCUCUGUCAGGACUGGGUGGUGGUCAUACACCCGGCCGAGGAUUAAAGCGUCCUGUUGGGACAAGAUCAUGCCGAGAUCCAUCAGUAGUAAACGUCAGAGGUUUUCCCCUAAUAGCUAAUACACCAGGAAUUCUGACAUGUCACAGGCCAGCUCAUCUUCUAACUUUGGUGAGAAGCUGGGGGCUCAGCUCGGAGGGACUGGCCUUGCUGACGUGAGCCUCUGGGCGGGGGGAGGUACACGGCCCCCGAGGUGCCAGGGCAACCACUGUGCCAGGGGAACUGGGUUGGAUAAAUCUGGGUUUGGUGGUGUUUGCCAAGCCUCAGAGAGAGCAGUGGGGAGGGGUGCUUCGCAGAGAGAACCCCUCCUCGGGCUGCCAAAGCUUCCAGUUUCCUGACGAUGCCAAGACCCUAGAGAGGGGAGACCCUCUGUGAGACAGGGUCUCUGGGCCCCCCGGGAAGGGGCAACGCAGGCAGUCACGUCCAGUCUCUGGUCCGGGGCUUUCCUUGGCUGCAAUAACAGGACAACUUUCUAUAGUUAGAAACAGGGGUUUAUUUAUCUCACAUGAAAAGGGGUCCGGGACUGGGGGCGGCUGACACUUGAAAUCACCACUGUAGAGAGUCACCGUCUGAGCACAACAGGGUGGCAGACGGUUAUAUUUCCUUGUUGGUAAGUGCUCUGCUUCUGUGACCAGACGGUUCAUGCAUUUUUGACCGUUUGCCUUGAUUCAAGCGGCCAAACGCCAGACCUCCACUGUGAUUCACCUGCGAAGGGGAAUGACCACCUUCCUGGAAACGUGAAAGCCAGCGGGGGGCCUGGACCUUCUCUCUCACGCAUGACCUAGAUCUCUCAGCUCCCCUCACCUCUGGGGUGCAGUUGAUCCAGCUGCUGAGUGAGGUUAUCCACACAGAAGGGCUUCAGAGACAGCUGCUGCUCUGCAGAAGCAAGACGUUACCACCACGUGCAUGACACGUGCCCCCGUGGGCCCAGAGAAGCCAGAUAUGGGAGGGAGGUACUGCCUUUUAUAAUUGAUUAAAUCUGAGUGACAAAAGGAUGUAUAAUCCUUAGAAUGGAGCGCGCUGAUCUGAAAAUCAACACCACAGAAUUCUAGGAAGUACUCAAACAGUAUUUGAAGAGAAUAGAAGCUAGUUACUUCUAGUGCCAUGCUUUCCUAAGACAGGAAGAGGAUGGGUUGGAAGGAGGAGACAAUCAAUCAGGGUGGGUCAAGACCCCAACAUCCCCCAGAUCAGGAGCAGCAGUAAUUCAGCCCCUUCCCCCGGACUUUGCGUGAUUCCCAGGAUGUCUGCCUCCCUAGGCAUGGAGACGCCCCUUGGGUGCAGGUCUGCGUGUUCGCGGUGAGAGGUGGGGCUGGGAGACCGGCUCCUCCCUCCCAGUACCAGCACCCCGGGAUGGGUGGAGGACAAGGCCGUGAGACAGAACAUGCGAUUGUAUUAAAAAGCCAGCGCCUGAAAUUUUGCUCUGGACUGGGAGCAACUUCGUAAGAAACAAACGACUUUGAUCAAAACUGUAAGAUUUCAUUUCCACUGAGAAGUGUGGUGAUGGCUGGAACUCACCAAGCGCGUUUUGAUAAUAAAUUGUCCCAAGUGUCUUACGUCCCUUGUCUCCAGGUGUUGCAGCCACAUCUCAGGAAGGUGGUGCUGACUUCAGAGGAGUGGGGACCCACGGUGACUCCACUCCAAGUGGCGGGAGGGGCCCUCUGUGCAGCGCCCGAAAGCCAGGCUUUGAGAAUGUUCAUUUCCGUGUGUUCACUGCAUUUUUUCCUUCUCGUUGUAACUUCAGUGUCCGAGGACCCUCGUUCGUGCUGGGGAUGUCCCCGUGUCCCUGAUCCGACGGCAGGCGUGCGCAGCGCUCACUGCGGUGUGUGCUGAUUUGUGGUCUAUCCUCCCGCCCGGAGCGCAGCCCCCGGGGGGCAGGGGCCCCGUGCUGUCCACAUGUGGCCCCAGAGCCCCAGGGACCCUUCACACGUUAGUUGGAAGAAAGGAAGGGUGAAUUUGUGAGAGCGAAUGAAUGGUGCCCCAGGAACAGCCACUUUAAUACUGUGUUUUUAGUAUUUGUUAAUGAAUAUUAUAUGAAUAAAGGAUUCUAUAGACAGCUUAAGUGCUUUUCGUCCCCACCCUACCUCCGAGGCAUUAUCUUUUACAGCUUAUCAUCAGCGUCCUGUGGUCAAAUUAUAUCCCAGUCAACAGGCACCUGUGAUCCACUCUUGUACAGAAAUAUUUGCUGAAAACCAUUUUUUGUUUUGUUUUUUGCUUAGGAUAGAUGCUUAAGAAGCGAAACUAUCUGGUCAACGUUCGUGAACAUUUUUAAAGUUAUUUCUGUCUUUACUGAAUUGCUUUUUUGAACUUUUGGACCAAUCUAACCCUGUCAGUAACAUUCUAGGCCCUGUCUCACAUGGCCAGAGUCAAAUAUUACUCAUUUAUUUUUACAAAUUAUUGUUAAGUAUUGGGAAAUAAAAGUAAAAAUGCAUCACUUUGUUCACUUGUAAAGCUGAAGCGUUUCCAUGUAUCUAUUAGCCAUUUUCAUUCAUAUGUUCAUGGAUU